UUCAAAUGAACAUGAAAAAGUUAUUAAGAAAUUAAUUAAACUAUAUUUAUGAGAAAUAUAUUAUUAUUUUAUUAAUUUAUCAUUUGUGAAUAAUCAUCUCUAUAAGAAUAGGACCUGAUCAUCUCUCUGUUAUUAAUUCGGCCUAGCCCUCCAAACUCUCCACUCUCCCUCAAGAUCACUCGCGCCAAUCGACAAUGUCCGAUCGAAUUCCACGGGACCUUCUCAUUGAGAUUCUAAUCCAAUGUCAAAUACCAACUAUUCUUCGUUGCAGGUGCGUAUCCAAACAAUGGCGUGCCCUAAUAGAUGACCCGCAAUUCAUCAAACAACAUACCGACUAUGCUAUCCAGACCAACGCUAGUCGCAUAUUCUUCAACGAACUAUUUGGCAAUCUCUGUUCUUCACCUUUGGAUACACUCGAAAUCCGUAAUGUACCCAUCAUUUCCCAAGUUCAACCAGUUUCGCUAGUUGGAUCUUGCAAUGGUUUGCUAUGCUUACGUAAUGUGGAUACCCAAGAUAUUUGUAUAAUGAAUCCAGCCACUAGAAAACAUAUGUACCUUCAAAAUUUGUUGCCUAAUAAUUGCCGGGAUGAACAAAAUAAGGUUUCGUUGACAGGAUAUGGUUUUGGGUAUGAUUGUGUUAAUGAUGAUUAUAAAGUUGUUAGAAUUGCACAAAAGAUUGAUGCCGAGCCUCGUAUUAAUAAUGGUAAUUUGGGUUUCUUGGAAACUGAGAUGAGUAUUUGUAAUGUGAAAACAAGAGUUUUAAAAGUUGUUAAAAUGCCUUACUUUACUCUCGUUAAUGAUUUGGGUGUGCUUGCUUGUGGAGCUCUGCAUUGGUUAAUGGGUAAAUAUAACGAUGUGACGAGCCUUAAGAAGAAGUUAAUUGUGGGUUACGAUCUUGGCACUGAUGAAUUUCGUGAGUUGUCGCAGCCUGAAUUUCUGAAUCAUGAUAAUUGUAGAAAGAAUAUUGGUUUAUUAGGAACAUGGUUAUGCCUAUCUGCUAAUUAUAAUCCGGAGGAGGGUAUUGAUUUCUGGGUUAUGAAAGAAUACGGGGAUAAGGAAUCUUGGACUAUGCUCUUUUCUUUUCCGAUUACUUUCAUCCCCUGUAGGUAUGUUAGACCUUUGGGUUUAUUAGAGAGGGGUUCUUUAGUUGUACUGGAAGUGAAUGCAAGAAGACUUGUUUGGUACGAUAGAAAAGAGAGAAAUAUGAGAAUUUUUUACCUCAAGGCCCGUGAUGAAUGUAGUGUUUGUUUGAGUAGCCUUACUCCCCUUCCAUCCAAUGAAAAUGGACGAAUCGAUGAAAAGAAUCAAGGUUCUGAAGAUCAAAUGAAGACAAGGCAGAAGAAGAAGAAGAAGCUUGCAGUUUUCUAAUUCUUAUUUGUGCUGAGUUUGAGACUUGAUUCUGGAGAAGCAAUAUAAAUGGCUGAAAACUAUGGACUUGAUCCUUGUUCCUGUUCAGGGAUGAUUUUCUGUCAAAAGGUUUCAAGCUAAAACUAUAGGUGAAAGGAAGCAAAAUCAGGAUGGCAAACAGGGUUUCCACUGGUGAGAUAAGGCUUCGUUCGAACACAAGAAAAUGCUCUGAAGGUUUUCUGUCUUGUAAUUUGUAAAGUGCAUGUAAGACUGGAUUAUCUGUUGGCAACAAUUAUAGCUACAUGACAUGUAUGGAAUGUCUCGACAGAGAUGCUUUUAGGUUGUAAGAAAUGGUAUAUGAACUAACAAUCUGAGCUUUUUUGGUUGUUUUCUGAUAUUAUUACAUGUUUCUCUAUCA